GCGGGCGUGGUGGAAUUGGUAGACACGCCGGCUUUAGGAGCCGGUGGGCGCUAGCCCUUGGAGGUUCGAGUCCUCUCGCCCGCA
rnacentral:tRNA from 1 species